UACGAAGGGGGCUAGCGUUGUUCGGAAUUACUGGGCGUAAAGCGCGUGUAGGCGGGUCUUUUAGUCAGGGGGGAAAUGCCAGGGCUCAACCUUGGAACUGCCUUUGAUACUGGAGACCUUGAGUCCGGGAGAGGUGAGUGGAAUUGCGAGUGUAGAGGUGAAAUUCGUAGAUAUUCGCAAGAACACCAGUGGCGAAGGCGGCUCACUGGCCCGGUACUGACGCUGAGGUGCGAAAGCGUGGGGAGCAAACAGG
rnacentral:rRNA from 1 species